GGGGGGGGGGGGGCAUAGGACCCCUACGAUCAUCGGUCACAGGGCCUAAAAUUGUUGACGCCAUGGGGGGAGGGGAGGUGCAAAUGGUUCUCCAGCCACGGAGCCCUAACGACCAUCUUUCCGGGGGCCCUUGUCGCUAAUACUCUGUCCACUUGUAGACAUACGGCAUACUACAGACUAGAGAUCUUCGGUGACCGCCUAGUCCGCCUACCUUUAGAUCCACCGCUGGUUCAUGACGGAGUUUUUUUUUACUACGGAGAUGCAUCAUUCCCCCUGCCUGCUGCGUAUGCACCGGGCAGGAGACAGUGUGGCAGUAUGCAAGUUGCACACUGGAUAGGAGCGGGCCCGCGGCACCGCCAUCAUUCCGCACAUCUGCAUGCCCGUCGUGGGUUCUAACCGCGUAUGAACCGUCCGCCGUAGCAAGAAUUGACUAUCCGGCUACGUCCCAACCAACCAAACCGUGCUCUUUCGAAGUAAAUUUGCUUCGAUAUACCUUCGAUAGAAGCCCCCAGGACAAUCGCAUGGCAAUCGGAUUGAACGCGCAACAUUUUCCAUACAAUCCGCAGUGUUGCGUUUUCUUCGCGCCAACUUCCCAACCAGCAUUAUCGCGCGAUUUUUAUGUGUAUCUAUCAUUUUUCUCAUUCUAACAUUCACAAAAUUUUUCAUUCUGCCUCGCUCUUCUGGGUGUUGGUCUGUAUUUGCUUGCGACUUGGCUGUGUUGCAUCAACGAUUCGCAUGUUUCAUUUAGCUCAUCCCUUUCCAUCGUUGGAGAGAAACUCUUGCGUCUCGCUUUUCUGGGACUUGUCCAAAUUCGCUUGCUACACCAAUCGUUCACGCAAGCGUUCUCCUCUCGCCCGCUCUUUGUAUCAUUGUACAGGUACUCCCCGAUAUACGCUAUCAAUGCGUACCGGAGGCAAUAGCGUAUCUCGAAUAUACAAUAGCGAAAGUCGAAUUUCGAGGUUUUCAGUCAAAUUAUAACUAAUAUCCGUAUAACUUUGCAUGAAGUGGUAGGUUUUAGCCACUUAAUUAGUUAUUUGAUCUAAUUUCAACUGAAUUUUUCAAUUUUAUACCAUUUGAAAUGGUUUUUAAUAUUCAACCAAAAUGGAAUUUAUUUUGCAUUUGACAUUCGAUUUCUAAAAUUAGUACUACUUGUUCAAAGAACCGUCAAAUUUAGAAAAAAGCGUAUAGCGAAAUCGUGUAUAUCGAGUAUGGCGUAUAUCGGGGAAUACCUGUAUAGGAACACGAGGAAGGCGCUGCUUCGCGUUCACAUGAAAAUGUGGUAGUGUGAAAUCAAGUUUGCAAGCGGUAGGACGCGUCGGUGUGUGUCCGUUUUUUCUCUCGUGAAACCAGUACGGAAAAACUAUUUGAAAUCGUAACACACGCACGAACGGAAGUGAGCACGGACCACAACAGAAGCAAUAUUCAAUUGGUUGGAGUGCCGAAAACAGAACAGGAGAGGAAAGAAGGCAGGAACGAUCCGAUCCUCCAACGUGCUAGCGCCUGGUAGAGGAGAAGCGGCAGGAAGGUAGAGACGAACAUCCAGCUCGCUAGUGCAGCACGUGGGAGCAGCAAGAGGG